GAGAUAGCUCAGUUGGUAGAGCAUGAGAUUCUUAAUGUCAAGGUCGUGGGUUCGAGCCCCAUGUUGGGCA
rnacentral:tRNA from 1 species